UACGUAGGGGCGAGCGUUGUCCGGAAUUAUUGGGCGUAAAGGGUUCGCAGGCAGUUUUUUUAAGUCAGGUGUGAAAGCCAUAGGCUCAACCUAUGUAAGCACUUGAAACUGGAAGACUUGAGUUAAGGAGAGGAAAGUGGAAUUCCUAGUGUAGCGGUGAAAUGCGUAGAUAUUAGGAGGAAUACCAGUGGCAAAGGCGACUUUCUGGACUUAUACUGACGCUGAGGAACGAAAGCGUGGGGAGCAAACAGGAUUAGAUACCCCUGUAGUCCCUGAGCGGGCU
rnacentral:rRNA from 1 species